AUGUACCCAAUUGCUUGGGCAAUAGUGGAGCAAGAAACUACAGAAAGUUGGAAAUGGUUUAUUGAGCAUCUAAUCAAAGACUUGGACAUAAAUGGUGAAGGUGAAGGUUGGGUGUUCAUUUCAGAUCAACAGAAGGUACUUUUGUUAAUCAUCAUCGUUUAG
rnacentral:rRNA from 1 species